rnacentral:rRNA from 1 species
CCUACGGGGGGCACCAGUGGGGAAUAUUGCACAAUGGGCGCAAGCCUGAUGCAGCCAUGCCGCGUGUAUGAAGAAGGCCUUCGGGUUGUAAAGUACUUUCAGCGGGGAGGAAGGUGUUGUGGUUAAUAACCGCAGCAAUUGACGUUACCCGCAGAAGAAGCACCGGCUAACUCCGCGCCAGCAGCCGCGGUAAUACGGAGGGUGCAAGCGUUAAUCGGAAUUACUGGGCGUAAAGCGCACGCAGGCGGUCUGUCAAGUCGGAUGUGAAAUCCCCGGGCUCAACCUGGGAACUGCAUUAGAAACUGGCAGGCUAGAGUCUUGUAGAGGGGGGUAGAAUUCCAGGUGUAGCUGUGAAAUGCGUAGAGAUCUGGAGGAAUACCGGUGGCGAAGGCGGCCCCCUGGACAAAGACUGACGCUCAGGUGCGAAAGCGUGGGGAGCAAACAGGAUUAGAUACCCCAGUAGUC